UGUAACAUAUGAUAAGUUAGAGGACUAAGCUCCCAAGUUCAAUUCAGUCUAAGGUUUGACCCAGGAACUACACGGAUAUUUUCAUGAAUUACCGAAUCUGACUGAAAGUAAAACCUGCCGAAGAGAUAGGGUUUCUAUCUCUUCCACACUCUUCCAAACUGGUACAGAUUGAGGAAUUUUUCCCCAGCACCGCUGGGAGCGUGGGAGGAGCAAGCCAUGUCGUGCUCUUACUGCUCUGGCCAUUGGCCACUGGCCCGCGGAUCGCCUUUGGCAGCCGCGCUUCUUGGAGCCGCGCCGGGAGGUCACUGUCGCGGCCGCCGCCGUCGGUAGCCGGUGAGCUUUACCGCGCGUGGCCAAGAGAAGGGGUGGUCGCGGGUUGCGCGCCGCCGAAGGCAGGAGCAGCGCUAGGAGUCACCUUCGUGUCGUGAGGAUCCAGGCAGAGGGCAGUGGCUGCGAGCACCGCCUCGCUGCGAGGAUCAAGCCGAAGGUUGCAAGGCAUGCCGCCGUUGAAGGUCCUGGUCGUGCGCGCGCCGAGGGCGCAUCCGCGUGGGCCACCGGCCGCUUUGGGUCGCCUUUGUCGUGCUAAGGCGGCCACCUGCCAGUAGCCGUGCCACGAGGAACCGCCGCAGGGAGGAGAGCAGCGCCGGACUUCGGUUACCUUGCCGUGCAGAGGAGACGCAUGGGGAUGGUGCCGGCCUCCACCACAGGCCGAUGUCUAUGUGAUGGAGCCAGGAGGAGCAGCGCCGAGGAAUGGCGUGGGGCAGGGCCGCGGGCGGCGCCGUGCUCCGAGGAUUCGACCAUCGUCACUCGUCCCGUGCUUUCGGUUCUUCCGUUCCUCUUCGUGCUCUCGGUAGAGGCAGUGCUGAUAAUGUGUUUGAGAACUAAUGAUUGAGAGAAUCAAGUGAUGUUUCAUUGAUGAUUGUUGGGGGUAUAUAUACCCACCGAACAGACGCCUAUAAGGCGGUUACAAAGACAUCCUUUCGGGA